rnacentral:tRNA from 1 species
GGCGGUUUAGCUCAAUCGGCAGAGCGCGUGACUGUUAAUCACGAUGUCGUAGGUUCGAUCCCUGCAUCCGCCUCCA